rnacentral:rRNA from 1 species
GAUGAACGCUGGCGGCGUGCCUAACACAUGCAAGUCGAACGGAGAUUACGGACGGAAGUUUUCGGAUGGAAGACUGUAAUUCUUAGUGGCGGACGGGUGAGUAACGCGUGGGCAACCUGCCCUAUACAGGGGGAUAGCGGCUGGAAACGGCUGGUAAGACCGCAUAAGUCGGUUAAAUCGCAUGAUUUGAUCGGGAAAUGAGCAAUCAGGUAUAGGAUGGGCCCGCGUCCGAUUAGCCAGUUGGCAGGGUAAAAGCCUACCAAAGCGACGAUCGGUAGCCGGACUGAGAGGUCGGACGGCCACAUUGGGACUGAGACACGGCCCAAACUCCUACGGGAGGCAGCAGUGGGGGAUAUUGCACAAUGGAGGAAACUCUGAUGCAGCGACGCCGCGUGAGUGAAGAAGUAUUUCGGUAUGUAAAGCUCUAUCAGCAGGGAAGAUGAUGACGGUACCUGACUAAGAAGCCCCGGCUAACUACGUG